AGUCAUAUGCUGUCUCAAAGAUUAAGCCAUGCAUGUCUCAGUACAAGCCAAAUUAAGGUGAAACCGCGAAAGGCUCAUUAAAUCAGUUAUGGUUCCUUAGAUCGUACCCACAUUUACUUGGAUAACUGUGGUAAUUCUAGAGCUAAUACAUGCAAACAGAACUCCGACCGGAGACGGAAGGAGUGCUUUUAUUAGAUCAAAACCAAUCGGCGGCGGUCUCGGCCGUCGUCGUACAUCUUGGUGACUCUGAAUAACUUUUUGCUGAUCGCACGGUCCAGCACCGGCGACGCAUCUUUCAAAUGUCUGCCUUAUCAACUGUCGAUGGUAGGUUCUGCGCCUACCAUGGUUGUAACGGGUAACGGGGAAUCAGGGUUCGAUUCCGGAGAGGGAGCCUGAGAAACGGCUACCACAUCCAAGGAAGGCAGCAGGCGCGCAAAUUACCCACUCCCGGCACGGGGAGGUAGUGACGAAAAAUAACGAUACGGGACUCAUCCGAGGCCCCGUAAUCGGAAUGAGUACACUCUAAACCCUUUAACGAGGAUCAAUUGGAGGGCAAGUCUGGUGCCAGCAGCCGCGGUAAUUCCAGCUCCAAUAGCGUAUAUUAAAGUUGUUGCGGUUAAAAAGCUCGUAGUCGAAUCUGUGUCUCGCGCCGCCGGUUCAUCGCUCGCGGUGUUUAACUGGCGUGCCGCGGGACGUCCUGCCGGUGGGCUUAGCCUCUCGCGGGGCGGCCCAACUACAAUCCCACCGCGGUGCUCUUCACUGAGUGUCGAGGUGGGCCGGCACGUUUACUUUGAACAAAUUAGAGUGCUUAAAGCAGGCUCAAACUUCGCCUGAAUAUUCGUGCAUGGAAUAAUGGAAUAGGACCUCGGUUCUAUUUUGUUGGUUUUCGGAACCCCGAGGUAAUGAUUAAUAGGAACGGAUGGGGGCAUUCGUAUUGCGACGUU
rnacentral:rRNA from 1 species